UACGUAGGCAGCGAGCGUUGUUCGGAGUUACUGGGCGUAAAGGGUGUGUAGGCGGUUCUCUAAGUUUGGUGUGAAAUCUCCCGGCUCAACUGGGAGGGUGCGCCGAAUACUGAAUGACUCGAGUGCGGGAGAGGAAAGUGGAAUUCCUGGUGUAGCGGUGAAAUGCGUAGAUAUCAGGAGGAACACCGGUGGUGUAGACGGCUUUCUGGACCGUAACUGACGCUGAGACACGAAAGCGUGGGUAGCAAACAGG
rnacentral:rRNA from 1 species